GGGGGGGAAGGAGAGAAAUCAACACCUAGCCAGGGGAGUGGUUCGCAACAUGCUUCUUCCUAAAUGGUGGAAAUUCCUUCGAAAAAUUCGAGUUCAUCCAAAAUUCAGAAUGUUUCUUUGGCGAUUUCUCCAUGAUGCUAUCCCUGUAAAGGAUACUCUAUUCAAAUGAAUCCCUAUGGAAGAUACCUAUGCUUGGUGUAUUUCUCAACCAGAAUCAAUUUUGGCAUCUUUUCUUUGA